CAUACUGCGGUGAAUACGUUCCCGGGUCUUGUACACACCGCCCGUCAAACCAUGAAAGUCACCAACACCCGAAGUCCGAUUCGUCGGCCUAAGGUGGGGGGAUAAUUGGGGUU
rnacentral:rRNA from 1 species